CACGGCGCAGUAAUCAAUGGACACAGUGUUGACUGACUGGAGUGUAACACACACGCCAGCGAGCGAGCAAGCGGCGGCCAAGCGCCAUCCUGGCAUCCAACGCCGGUCGCAAAUACAGCCAACAAGCCCCGGACUUUCCGACAAUGACUUUCUUCUGGCUUCUGAUUGGCUGAAACGGCUUUAUUGUGAACGGCACUUUUCGCACAACACACUUGUAGGCAGGAGGUGGCGACGUGUAAACAGUGGCGAGCUGGAGUGCCGCCAAACGGACGCUGAUCUCGUUUGGCCGACACCUCCGCUAGUGGCAUCCGAUCCCGACUUUGUUCUGUACAAAUCCCGAUGAGGUCAAUGAAGGCAACACGCUACACGGUUUGUUCUCAGUUUCUGCCGACGAAAUCUUGGAAUUCACUUCACAGGCUUGUUACGAAAAUAAUUCAAAUAAAAGCAAAGAAAUAUUGA